UAGGGAAUCUUCGGCAAUGGGGGGCAAACCCUGACCGAGCAACGCCGCGUGAGUGAAGAAGGUUUUCGGAUCGUAAAGCUCUGCUGUAAGAGAAGAACGUGUGUGAGAGUGGAAAGUUCACACAGUGACGGUAACUUACAGAAGGGACGGCUAACUACGUGCCAC
rnacentral:rRNA from 1 species